UUCCCGGGAGGCUCAGCCAGGUGCCUGGAGCGGGAGAGUCGGACUCAGAUUCCUGCUUUACCUAGAAUAGCAACGUGCCCUGUUCCCGUUGUACCCUCUUAAAUACUAUACUUCUUAAACGGCCUGUCUCCCGGUGAGCUCUGUUCUCUUCUCAUAUGAGUAAUGAAAAUUAAGAGGAUGAAUGAAACCUCACACAUGUUGUGGACUUUGCUGAAUAGGUUAGCAAAUGACUGCAGGCCUU
rnacentral:lncRNA from 1 species